UGGGGAAUCUUGGACAAUGGGGGCAACCCUGAUCCAGCGAUGCCGCGUGAGUGAAGAAGGCCUUCGGGUCGUAAAGCUCUUUAGGUUGGGAAGAAGUCCGAGAGAGGAAAUGCUUUUGGAUUGACGGUACCGACAGAAUAAGCACCGGCAAACUCUGUGCCAGCAGCCGCGGUAAUACAGAGGGUGCGAGCGUUAAUCGGAGUUACUGGGCGUAAAGGGCGCGUAGGCGGUAAGAUGAGUGUGAUGUGAAAGCCCUGGGCUUAACCUAGGAAGUGCAUCGCAAACGAUCUUACUGGAGUAGAUGAGAGGGUGGCGGAAUUUCCGGUGUAGCGGUGAAAUGCGUAGAGAUCGGAAGGAACGUCAAUGGCGAAGGCAGCCACCUGGCAUCAUACUGACGCUGAGGCGCGAAAGCGUGGGGAGCAAACAGG
rnacentral:rRNA from 1 species